CCUACGGGGGGCAGCAGUGGGGAAUAUUGGACAAUGGGGGCAACCCUGAUCCAGCCAUGCCGCGUGUGUGAAGAAGGCCCUCGGGUUGUAAAGCACUUUCAGUGAGGAAGAACGCCUGGUGGUUAAUACCCAUCAGGAAAGACAUCACUCACAGAAGAAGCACCGGCUAACUCCGUGCCAGCAGCCGCGGUAAUACGGAGGGUGCGAGCGUUAAUCGGAAUUACUGGGCGAAAAGCGCGCGUAGGUGGCUUGAUAAGCCGGUUGUGAAAGCCCCGGGCUCAACCUGGGAACGGCAUCCGGAACUGUCAAGCUAGAGUGCAGGAGAGGAAGGUAGAAUUCCCGGUGUAGCGGUGAAAUGCGUAGAGAUCGGGAGGAAUACCAGUGGCGAAGGCGGCCUUCUGGACUGACACUGACACUGAGGUGCGAAAGCGUGGGUAGCAAACAGGAUUAGAUACCCUGGUAGUC
rnacentral:rRNA from 1 species